GAUGAACGCUGGCGGCGUGCCUAAUACAUGCAAGUCGAGCGAACAGACGAGGAGCUUGCUCCUCUGACGUUAGCGGCGGACGGGUGAGUAACACGUGGAUAACCUACCUAUAAGGCUGGGAUAACUUCGGGAAACCGGAGCUAAUACCGGAUAAUAUAUUGAACCGCAUGGUUCAAUAGUGAAAGACGGUUUUGCUGUCUCUUAUAGAUGGAUCCGCGCCGCAUUAGCUAGUUGGUAAGGUAACGGCUUACCAAGGCAACGAUGCGUAGCCGACCUGAGAGGGUGAUCGGCCACACUGGAACUGAGACACGGUCCAGACUCCUACGGGAGGCAGCAGUAGGGAAUCUUCCGCAAUGGGCGAAAGCCUGACGGAGCAACGCCGCGUGAGUGAUGAAGGUCUUCGGAUCGUAAAACUCUGUUAUUAGGGAAGAACAAAUGUGUAAGUAACUAUGCACGUCUUGACGGUACCUAAUCAGAAAGCCACGGCUAACUACGUG
rnacentral:rRNA from 1 species